GGGGGCGUAAAGGUUUCGACGGGGGUUUUGCACUGCAAUAAGCGAGCCGUGUUGCGGACACACGAAAAACGCCGCAACCUUAAAACAAACGACAACACGCAAGUUGCCUACGCUGCCUAAUUAGGCGGCCGUCCCGCUCCGGAGUACCGCGGCCGGAAACGGGGCGUCGAUUAGCGGUGAACGCGUUGGCGGGAAGGUCCCUGCCCGCCUUCGUGUAUCAGGGGGGCUACCAAACCACGCAGCCUGUUGACCGGCGGCGCGGCAAGGGAAUGUAAAAGGAUCAACUGCGCUCGGAGAAAAUUACAGGAAUAGACUUUCGGACAGGGGUUCGACUCCCCUCGCCUCCACCA
rnacentral:tmRNA from 1 species